rnacentral:rRNA from 1 species
UACGGAGGGGGCAAGCGUUAUUCGGAAUCAUUGGGCGUAAAGGGCGCGUAGGCGGCUUGGCAAGUCAAAGGUGAAAUCCCUCGGCCCAACCGAGGAACUGCCUUUGAUACUGCCUAGCUCGAGGCCGGGAGAGGGUAGCGGAAUUCCCAGUGUAGCGGUGAAAUGCGUAGAUAUUGGGAGGAACACCAGUGGCGAAGGCGGCUACCUGGACCGGUUCUGACGCUGAUGCGCGAAAGCGUGGGAGCAAACAGG